ensembl:lncRNA
UGGUAAGGUGUGCUGUGUUGUGGUAUGGUAAGGUGUGCUGUGUUGUGUUGUGGUAUGGUAAGGUGUCUGUGUUGUGUUGUGGUAUGGUAAGGUGUGCUGUGUUGUGUUGUGGUAUGGUAAGGUGUUCUGUGCUGUGUUAUGGUAAGGGGUGGUAAGGUGUGCUGUGUUGUGUUGUGGUAUGGUAAGGUGUGCUGUGUUGUAUUGUGGUAUGGUAAGGUGUUCUGUGCUGUGUUAUGUAAGGGGUGGUAAGGUGUUCUGUGUUGUGUUGUGGUAUGGUAAGGUGUGCUGUGUUGUGUUGUGUUGUGGUAUGGUAAGGUGUGCUGUGUUGUGUUGUGGUAUGGUAAGGUGUUCUGUGUUGUGUUGUGGUAUGGUAAGGUGUGCUGUGUUGUGUUAUGAUAUGAUAUGGUAAGGUGUGUUGUGC